UCGAGAAUCUUCCGCAAUGGGCGAAAGCCUGACGGAGCGACGCCGCGUGACUGAUGAAGUCCUUCGGGAUGUAAAGGUCUUUUAUGAGCCAGAAAGUUUAUUGAUCAGCUCAUGAAUAAGAGGUUGCUAAACUCGUGCCAGCAGCAGCGGUAAUACGAGUGCCUCAAGCGUUAUCCGGAAUUAUUGGGCGUAAAGGGUGUGUAGGCUGUUAUAUUAGUCCCGUGUUAAAACCUUCGGCUUAACCGAAGAUCUGCAUGGGAGACGGUAUAACUAGAGGAUGCGAGAGGUGAAUAGAACUCAUAGUGUAGGGGUGAAAUCCGUUGAUAUUAUGGGGAAUACCAAAAGCGAAGGCAAUUCACUGGCGCACUCCUGACGCUGAAACACGAAAGCGUGGGUAGCG
rnacentral:rRNA from 1 species